GACGAACCGAGCGAACGUUGUUCGGAAUCACUGGGCUUAGAGGGCGCGUAGGCGGGUGCUCAAGUCCGUGGUGAAAUCCUCCGGCUCAACCGGAGAACUGCCUCGGAUACUGGGUGCCUCGAGGGUGGUAGGGGUAUGCGGAACUAUCGGUGGAGCGGUGAAAUGCGUUGAUAUCGAUAGGAACUCCGGUGGCGAAGGCGGCAUACUGGACCACCUCUGACGCUGAGGCGCGAAAGCCAGGGGAGCAAACGGG
rnacentral:rRNA from 1 species